AGACCCGAAACCCGGUGAUCUAGCCAUGGGCAGGUUGAAGGUUGGGUAACACUAACUGGAGGACCGAACCGACUAAUGUUGAAAAAUUAGCGGAUGACCUGUGGCUGGGGGUGAAAGGCCAAUCAAACCGGGAGAUAGCUGGUUCUCCCCGAAAGCUAUUUAGGUAGCGCCUCGUGAAUUCAUCUCCGGGGGUAGAGCACUGUUUCGGCUAGGGGGCCAUCCCGGCUUACCAACCCGAUGCAAACUGCGAAUACCGGAGAAUGUUAUCACGGGAGACACACGGCGGGUGCUAACGUCCGUCGUGAAGAGGGAAACAACCCAGACCGCCAGCUAAGGUCCCAAAGUCAUGGUUAAGUGGGAAACGAUGUGGGAAGGCCCAGACAGCCAGGAUGUUGGCUUAGAAGCAGCCAUCAUUUAAAGAAAGCGUAAUAGCUCACUGGUCGAGUCGGCCUGCGCGGAAGAUGUAACGGGGCUAAACCAUGCACCGAAGCUGCGGCAGCGAACGUAUCACCCAAGACAACUUUACGGAGUUGACGAUUGACGGAGCGAAGCGACGUCAAAGCGUUCAUUAAAGUCGAGUUGGCUUAGGGAUACGUUCGUUGGGUAGGGGAGCGUUCUGUAAGCCUGUGAAGGUGUGUCGUGAGGCAUGCUGGAGGUAUCAGAAGUGCGAAUGCUGACAUAAGUAACGAUAAAGCGGGUGAAAAGCCCGCUCGCCGGAAGACCAAGGGUUCCUGUCCAACGUUAAUCGGGGCAGGGUGAGUCGACCCCUAAGGCGAGGCCGAAAGGCGUAGUCGAUGGGAAACGGGUUAAUAUUCCCGUACUUGGUGUUACUGCGAAGGGGGGACGGAGAAGGCUAUGUUGGCCGGGCGACGGUUGUCCCGGUUUAAGCGUGUAGGUGUGUGUUCCAGGUAAAUCCGGUUCACUUUAACACUGAGGCGUGACGACGAGGCACUACGGUGCUGAAGCAACAAAUGCCCUGCUUCCAGGAAAAGCCUCUAAGCAUCAGGUAACAUCAAAUCGUACCCCAAACCGACACAGGUGGUCAGGUAGAGAAUACCAAGGCGCUUGAGAGAACUCGGGUGAAGGAACUAGGCAAAAUGGUGCCGUAACUUCGGGAGAAGGCACGCUGACACGUAGGUGAAGUGAUUUACUCAUGGAGCUGAAGUCAGUCGAAGAUACCAGCUGGCUGCAACUGUUUAUUAAAAACACAGCACUGUGCAAACACGAAAGUGGACGUAUACGGUGUGACGCCUGCCCGGUGCCGGAAGGUUAAUUGAUGGGGUCAGCGCAAGCGAAGCUCCUGAUCGAAGCCCCGGUAAACGGCGGCCGUAACUAUAACGGUCCUAAGGUAGCGAAAUUCCUUGUCGGGUAAGUUCCGACCUGCACGAAUGGCGUAAUGAUGGCCAGGCUGUCUCCACCCGAGACUCAGUGAAAUUGAACUCGCUGUGAAGAUGCAGUGUACCCGCGGCAAGACGGAAAGACCCCGUGAACCUUUACUAUAGCUUGACACUGAACAUUGAGCCUUGAUGUGUAGGAUAGGUGGGAGGCUUUGAAGUGUGGACGCCAGUCUGCAUGGAGCCGACCUUGAAAUACCACCCUUUAAUGUUUGAUGUUCUAACGUGGACCCGUAAUCCGGGUUGCGGACAGUGUCUGGUGGGUAGUUUGACUGGGGCGGUCUCCUCCUAAAGAGUAACGGAGGAGCACGAAGGUUGGCUAAUCCUGGUCGGACAUCAGGAGGUUAGUGCAAUGGCAUAAGCCAGCUUGACUGCGAGCGUGACGGCGCGAGCAGGUGCGAAAGCAGGUCAUAGUGAUCCGGUGGUUCUGAAUGGAAGGGCCAUCGCUCAACGGAUAAAAGGUACUCCGGGGAUAACAGGCUGAUACCGCCCAAGAGUUCAUAUCGACGGCGGUGUUUGGCACCUCGAUGUCGGCUCAUCACAUCCUGGGGCUGAAGUAGGUCCCAAGGGUAUGGCUGUUCGCCAUUUAAAGUGGUACGCGAGCUGGGUUUAGAACGUCGUGAGACAGUUCGGUCCCUAUCUGCCGUGGGCGCUGGAGAACUGAGGGGGGCUGCUCCUAGUACGAGAGGACCGGAGUGGACGCAUCACUGGUGUUCGGGUUGUCAUGCCAAUGGCACUGCCCGGUAGCUAAAUGCGGAAGAGAUAAGUGCUGAAAGCAUCUAAGCACGAAACUUGCCCCGAGAUGAGUUCUCCCUGAGACUUAGAGUCUCCUGAAGGAACGUUGAAGACGACGACGUUGAUAGGCCGGGUGUGUAAGCGCAGCGAUGCGUUGAGCUAACCGGUACUAAUGAACCGUGAGGCUUAACCUU
rnacentral:rRNA from 3 species